GCCGAUUAUGGAUGGGAUUGCAAGUGCUGUACAGUCUGACCCUGGUGCUGGCUCCUCUAAGCAAGUGACACUGGUAGAGGGAAAUACAGUGUCCCUGUUGAAGCCAGCACACAGUCUCCUGCACAGAGGGUGAACCAAAUGAUGAAGACACUCUGUCUGUGUCUUCAGAGACAGUUGCUGAGGAUUUUUCACAACCUGCCCCAGAAACUGAAGCCUCUACCUCAAUGGGCUUCAGAAGGAAUGUGAACAAGGUAAUGCUUUAAACCCUUAAUUACAGUGGAAACAGACUCAGUCAGGGCCCUUUACAAAAGGAGUCUAGAACUAGACUGUUCACUGAAGGAGCUGGACUGUGAGCUGAGGAGGCUCCAAAUUAAAAAAAUUAAAUUGGAGAUCAAACAGCUGGAAAAAACAGAUCUCACCACAUGACCAAUAAAACAGUUUGAGACCUA